rnacentral:rRNA from 1 species
AUGAACGCUGGCGGCGUGCCUAAUACCUGCAAGUCGAGCGCACAGAUGAGGAGCUUGCUCCUCUGACGUUAGCGGCGGACGGGUGAGUAACACGUGGAUAACCUACCUAUAAGACUGGGAUAACUACGGGAAACCGGAGCUAAUACCGGAUAAUAUAUUGAACCGCAUGGUUCAAUAGUGAAAGACGGUUUUGCUGUCACUUAUAGAUGGAUCCGCGCCGCAUUAGCUAGUUGGUAAGGUAACGGCUUACCAAGGCAACGAUGCGUAGCCGACCUGAGAGGGUGAUCGGCCACACUGGAACUGAGACACGGUCCAGACUCCUACGGGAGGCAGCAGUAGGGAAUCUUCCGCAAUGGGCGAAAGCCUGACGGAGCAACGCCGCGUGAGUGAUGAAGGUCUUCGGAUCGUAAAACUCUGUUAUUAGGGAAGAACAAAUGUGUAAGUAACUAUGCACGUCUUGACGGUACCUAAUCAGAAAGCCACGGCUAACUACGUG